rnacentral:lncRNA from 1 species
GUUCCUUGGGCUGUGAGAGUUUGGAAACUUACGAGCUGGGCUGUGAACCUCCCUCCACAUCCCAUUUGUGUCCCCUGGCUUGCCCCGACUCCAGCCCAGUUAUCAUAGAAAAACUGCAUCUAUGAGGGUGAGAUUGCUGAAUCAUCAUGAUGUUCAUAGGAGAUAACUUAGACAAGACCCCUAAACAUCUCAACAUUUUGGUGCAAUGGCUGGAAAUUUUGAAAAACAAAACAAAACAAGAAACCAGGGAAGGCGUUUAGCAGAACCAUCUCCCAAGG